rnacentral:lncRNA from 1 species
UAAGAGAGCAGAGAGCAGAGAAACUAAAGGCAUAAUUCUUCUGUAAUUAGGCAUUUUUACAUCUGGGGUAACUACCACAAACUACGUGUGGCAAGUGGUCUACAACACACCCUCAGUUUGAAGAAGGAGGUCUUAAACAUCAUCAAUGGGGAAGAGACAGAGUCCCUGAGACACUAGUGGAAGAUCUCACCCUACUCCUCCCAGCCUACCCUUCUUAGAGGCAGGCAGACCACAGCCUGUCGAGGGAGGGGCAGCCAGUGCCUGCAGCUAGCUUUGUCUCCAACACCUCCCUUUCAAGAGAGAGCUUCAGCCAGCACCCCCUCCCUGAGGCCAGGGCUGAACGAUCCAGUUCACAGACACAGGUCUGUCCUGGGGCCGGCCCCUCUGCCAUUCUGCUUAUACACCAAGCCAGCAUCCCCCAGGCUCUGCUGUUACCACCUGCAGCCCUCCUCCACCCACUCUCCUCAGAGUGGUGUGAGCAAAGUUUCUGUGAAAAGCAGGGUCUCUACCGAAGUCUUCUGCUCCAGUGGAGAAAGAAAGAGCUUAAGGGGAAGGUAUGGAGGCCUUCGUGACCCAUCCCCCCUGGUUAGACUCUGAGAAGUCACCUUCCUUGGCAUCCUGCCAGCCCCCGCUAGCCUGAUGUAACCCUUCCACCCUCCUCCUCCUCCUCCUGAGGGGACAGAGACUGGGUCAUGUUGGGACCCAAGCUGCUGCUGCUUCUCCCUUCUAUCUCAAGUCAGACUUGCUCAUUUGGCUAGUUGGAACAAGUUGGAGAAAUCCCACAGGUGUCGCCCAUCGAGUUCUUCUGCUAUGCCCGUCAUCACACCCUGUGAGGCCUACACAGCUCAGCUCAGAUUUGGGUUGAUUACAGUAGCCAAUGAUGAGGCAGAGACUGACUCUUCGUGUUUUUUUUUUCCCUAUUAAGGCUCUAAUACUCUUCCCAGGAAAGCCAUCAUACUCUCCUGUAUUAAACAGAAGAUAUACGUGACAUAAAAUGAAUGAAAAGAUUCUAGAGACAUAGAUAUUUUGUGCAACCAUCAACACUUCACAUUCUCUGACUCCAUUUCAUCUUAACCCCCAAUACCUACAAAUGUGCCAGGC